CCUACGGGUGGCAGCAGUGAGGAAUAUUGGUCAAUGGCCGAGAGGCUGAACCAGCCAAGUCGCGUGAGGGAAGACGGCCCUACGGGUUGUAAACCUCUUUUGUCGGGGAGCAAAGCGAGUCACGUGUGCACCAUUGAGAGUACCCGAAGAAAAAGCAUCGGCUAACUCCGUGCCAGCAGCCGCGGUAAUACGGAGGAUGCGAGCGUUAUCCGGAUUUAUUGGGUUUAAAGGGUGCGCAGGCGGGGGGGCAAGUCAGCGGUCAAAUUGCGGGGCUCAACCCCGUACUGCCGUUGAAACUGGGAAGCUGGAGUGCAGGAGAGGUAAGCGGAAUGCGUGGUGUAGCGGUGAAAUGCGUAGAUAUCAGGAGGAACGCCGGCGGCGAAGGCAGCUUACUGGAGUGUAACUGACGUUGAGGCUCGAAGGCGCGGGGAGCAAACAGGAUUAGAUACCCCAGUAGUC
rnacentral:rRNA from 1 species